rnacentral:rRNA from 1 species
GAUGAACGCUGGCGGCGUGCCUAAUACAUGCAAGUCGAACGAAGAUCUAGCUUGCUAGAUCUUAGUGGCGAACGGGUGAGUAAUACAUAAAUAAUCUGCCCAUAUGACUGGGAUAACUAUUGGAAACGAUAGCUAAUACCGGAUAGGUUGAUUGGAGGCAUCUCUGAUUAAUUAAAGUAGGAUUUCUACACAAAUGGAUGAGUUUAUGGCGCAUUAGUUAGUUGGUGGGGUAACGGCCUACCAAGACGAUGAUGCGUAGCCGACCUGAGAGGGUGACCGGCCACACUGGGACUGAGACACGGCCCAGACUCCGACGGGAGGCAGCAGUAGGGAAUUUUCGGCAAUGGGCGCAAGCCUGACCGAGCAACGCCGCGUGAGUGAUUAAGGCCUUCAGGUUGUAAAGCUCUGUUGUAAGGGAAGAACAUUCAGGAUAGGAAAUGAUCUUGAACUGACGGUACCUUACCAGAAAGCCACGGCUAACUACGUGCCAGCAGCCGCAGUAAAAC